UCGUUCUCGAAACGUAUAUCGCGGGUCCCAAGAAAUCUGUAACCGCCUCAAUUUAAUAGAAUUAUGAAAUAUCAUAAAUACCCUCGUUCAUUUUGGAUUACCGACCUUAACGGCACUGAAAACAGAUACCUAGUUUUGUAAUUUAAUAUGAACCCUAUUCCGACUUCACCCGGAUUCCGUCCCGACGCGUUUAUAUAGCGCGGGUUCCAGUUGCACCGACUCUCGAUUCCAGCAGUUCUGGCGUGUAUCGUUUGAGAAUAUUGAGUAAUAUUUGUGUUAUAGUUUCAGAAAAUUCAAUGUCUCAGCCAGCAGCAACGACGAAGAAUCUGGUGGAAUCAGUUGGGGAUAUGGUUGCUCCUCCUCCACCGCCACCAUCGUCUUCAUGGAAAAGUUCAAGAAAAUGCGCCUGCCGUCGAAGCUCGAAACGAAUUGCUUCACAGAACAGAGCGAAUUUCGAAAAAAGCGCUGCUCCUUUCCUGUUCAUGUACUAUCGCAAUAGUUCUUGGCUGAAUUUCUCGGAGGAUGUUGUGAAAACGCUGCGAGCCGGUUUCUUGGAACGGAGACCGAUUAUCGAAGCGUCUAUCGACGGCGCGAAGUAUUAUUUUGACUUGAAGAGGAUGGUGCAGAUCGAUUACGUGACAGGAAAUCAACGAUCGAUUUCUUGGAUCGAUGAAAACCACAAGUGUUUUUUCCCUAAUAUUUUUUUCAGCGAAGAAGAAAUUACGGAAUCCGAAAGUGAAAGUGUAAGCGGUGAUAAUAUUGGCUGCAAUUACAAAGCUAAUAGUAACAAUUGUAAUGCUAAGAUUGAGAUUGAGGUUAAGAUUGAUGGAGCUUCAUCGAAGAGAAAACGAGAAGAGCCUGAAGUGAGUUCUGCUAACAAAGCCGUAGAUGUGAUUAAACGUCAGCGUUUGGAGGAUGGGGGAGCUGCUAGGUGGCCUGACUCGUUGCUGUUGAGAGAAACAGAAAAAGCGUAUGUGGUUGUUAAGGGUCAUUUCUUGAAUGGAAUGAAGAAAGCUGAUGAUGGGGUUACGGUUACUUCAAUUCAUCAGUGUAAGCAUGAAGGGCAUUUGAAUAAGGCUCGUCGUAAGGUUUUUGAGAAGCAGGUUGGGAUCACUAAGUCCGCGAGAGGUACUUCAAACAUAGUUUAUGCCUGGUAUGGGGCUUCCGCCUAUGUUGUGGAGAGUGUUCUGGCUCAUGGGUUUGGGAUGCCCAGCAUUGUUCCCGCAGCUGACGUUUGCGGGGUUGGCAUGUAUUUGUCGUCUUUUCAGUUGCCACAAUUGAGUGCAAAACUGGCUGAUGCUGACGGUAAUGAUGUAAAACAUCUUAUUCUGUGCCGGCUCAUAUUGGGAAAUGUCGAGAAAUUGGAAGCAGGAUCUAAACAGUGUCACCCAUCUAGUGUGGAUUUUGACACCGGUUCUGAUGAUCCUGAGAAUCCGAAAUGGUAUGUGGUAUGGUCAGCUAAAGCGAAUAUGCAUAUUAUGCCCGAGUGUGUUGUGAGUUUCAGAGCUUCUGGUAACAUUCAAGGUCAACCUAGGCCUGCAGCUGGUGUUGGAUAUUCCCUUGAGAGAUUGUUUUCAAAGAUUAAGAGCUGUCUUCCUCCUGCCAAAGUGCGGGAAAUAUGGAUUUCAUACAGCACAUUCAAGAUGAUUGUAGGCAUCAAUAUGGGAUAAACAUGUCACCUUGGAUUCAGACCUAUUGAAUGAGGCAAGGAAGACUACUUGAACAAGAAACUAAGCCUGAGUGCUGAGCUUCCUUUCUAGUUAAGAAGGUUAUACCUGUGUUCAGCCAUCAUGAGACUGUGGAAGCUGCCCAACGCAUGCAAGAUGUCAGGGGGUUUUGGCUAAAGGCUUAACGAGGUUUGCUUAAUUGAAUAAGCCAGUUCAGCAUAAUAUGUAUGAUUAUUGUUUGACAAUUGUAGGCUUUACUCUUGAAUUUUUUUUUUUAACUUGCAUAUUGAUGUGGUUUAUGUUUGGUGUACUUUUCACUCUACUUAGUUCUUGAUUUGUCAAGAUUUUAUACAAAUAUUUACUAAGUCACAUUAAUCCAAAACAGUUAAUUUAUCUGGUGCAAACGGUAAUAUCUGCCUAGAGGAACUAGAGAUACUGCAAGUAGUUUCUUUCUUUUUUUGUGUUUUUGGCCCCCACUUAUGGAGCAUGCUUAUAAGAAGGAUUAUUAUUAAACCCAGAGGUUUAAUAAUAUUCACCUAUGCUAUAUUUUAAGUUGCUCAUAUAUUUAUGAAUAGGAAAGCUUUGGUUGGUUGAUGUCAUGUAUCGUGGUAUGUUAUCAGGUCAGAAGGUGGUCAAAAAUGUUUGCUUAAAGCAUUUUGCAUCAACAACGGGGGUGUCAUCAGUUAUUAUUGAUCUCUAUUUUAAAGAAUAUAUGUCCCCUGCACCCUCCCUUUUUCCUUUUGUGUUCAUGUUAUUGUGGUAUUUGGGGAAGGUUGUUUUCCAUUUGAGUUUUUCUGAAAUGAAAUCAAUGUGGAUAGGCUGUUUUCAUGGUGAUUCGUAUGCUUUAUUUGUUCUUAAAUUUUUUUUAAUUUGUUUAUUUCUUUUGUCAAUAGUUGGAGAGUUUUGCACUUCCAUUUUAUCUGUGAAAUCAUUAAUUCAUUCAAGCAAGCAGUCGUUGGAUAAUUGAUAGGGUUAAAGGAUUAUCACACACUAAUUGAAGUAUAUUUAAAAAUAACAAUAAUAAAUUAAUAUGAUAAAUGAAAAAACAUUGUAGUAAUAUUCUAACUUUGUUUAUGAAUGGAAGAAUGAAUAAUAAUGAUAGGUUUUAGUACUUACGGAUUAAUAAUGUUGCUUGGAUAGCCCAUAGCCCCUUGCAUUUUAGUUCUCCAUUUAUUAUUGUUAUAGUUAUCUUUAAUCGUCUUUGGAAAGCAUCAUGCACAAUUUACCUUUAUUUUUUCUUUUUAAUAUGGAAAGGGAGAGGUGAACUUCCGAAGUGAAACUAGCUAAUGCUUUUACACCAGGAGCAUGAUGAAGGUAUGUGAGAGCAAAAUAUCCUGUUAAAGCACAUGGUGGGACUUGAAAAGAGGAAACUGUCACACUGAGUUUGCAACAAAGAUUUUUCAGAUGUUCUCUUCUGUGUAGCAGAAAGGAACGUUCAUAAUAUUUGAAAAUAGAGCGAUGCCUCGCCUCCCCAUUUGCCUCAGCAGCUCUUGAUACAACUAAAUGAACAGAAUUAAAACCAUCCGUAGAAGGAAAACUGGCUGCCUUUCCUAGCAAGGGCAUCAGCACAUCGAUUCAACUCCUGAAAAAGAUAUACUUUACUGGCUUCGGUACUGUUCAUUGGAGGGAGAGACCUGCAUUUCUGGAAUUUGAGCUAAAAGACUGAUAACUGCAUGUCGCAUCCAGCUCAAAUUUCUAAAUUCCCUUGAUUAACUUAUUUAGAUAAAAGCUAAACCAUCCCUGGAGGCCCAUAACUCAGCUUCAAGGCCUCAACGUUAGCAAACGUCGACCAUGACAAGAAUCUGAGCAACGAAGAAGUGUACUAAAUUUUGCAAAUGUAUGGCCAAUUUCCUCAUUAUGAUUGGACUUUAUUUCUCCAAGAAGAGAAAUGAAGUGGAAUGCCAGCUGUGCAGUCCACCAACUACAAAAAGACCCCAUACCUCGAUUGCUUGGAAAAAGCAUAUAAAAACGAAAUACUACAUACAUUUGCAAUCAAUUCUUCGUCCUUCAGUUGACUUCUGGACCAUAACCAUUUGUUUGUUUCUUUAUCGUUUUAUCUUCUAUUGCCCGACACAUUUAACUCAUUCCUGCCAACUGCAGAGUCUCAAUGAAACAUCAGAAGAAAGAUUUCUUCCAUCUCAUAAACCAAAAGGAAAUUACUUGAAAUAUGUUCACUUUUACAUUUUAGGGUUGUAUAAGUAGUUCCAUUCAAUUUUUAUUCAGAAAAU